AGGAGGGCACUGCAUUUGUGGGCAGCCCAACUUAAGGGAAGAUUCAUGGGAAAGGGGCACAAGACGCCAGAGGUGGGCUGCUCUAUAAAGUCCUAGGAUCAAGAGUUUACAGAAUAAGUAUGGACUUGGAGAAUGACAAGAGAAGUUACAGGAUGGAGAAGUGGAGGAAAGGCAUGGAGCAAAGGUGGUCUUGUUAUGGACAGAAAAGGUCACAUGUAGCAGCUCUCAGAAAGGAAAUAUGGCAGUCUGUGGUAACAGUUUCUCAGUCAGACCUUUUGUCUUCUUUUUCUA
rnacentral:lncRNA from 10 species